AAACCAUGAUAUGGACACUUGCACAACAUUAACUUAAAGUUCUCCCAUGCCUCAUAUAAUGAUUCUCCUUCCAAUUGCUGAAAAUUUGUUAUAUCUAUAUGAAGUUU
rfam:Gossypium hirsutum cultivar TM-1 chromosome 9, whole genome shotgun sequence